UAGGGAAUUUUCGUCAAUGGGGGGAACCCUGAACGAGCAAUGCCGCGUGAGUGAAGACGGUUUUCGGACUGUAAAGCUCUGUUGUAAGAGAAAAACGGCCGACAUAGGGAAUGAUGUCGGAGUGAUGGUAUCUUACCAGAAAGUCACGGCUAACUACGUGCCAGCAGCCGCGGUAAUACGUAGGUGGCGAGCGUUAUCCGGAAUGAUUGGGCGUAAAGGGUGCGUAGGCGGUACGGUAAGUCUGUAGUAAAAGGCGGCAGCUCAACUGUCGUAGGCUAUGGAAACUGUCGAACUAGAGUGCAGAAGAGGGCGAUGGAACUCCAUGUGUAGCGGUAAAAUGCGUAGAUAUAUGGAAGAACACCAGUGGCGAAGGCGGUCGCCUGGUCUGUAACUGACGCUGAAGCACGAAAGCGUGGGGAGCAAAUAGGA
rnacentral:rRNA from 1 species